AACGAACGCUGGCGGCAGGCUUAACACAUGCAAGUCGAACGCAUCGCAAGAUGAGUGGCAGACGGGUGAGUAACGCGUGGGAACAUACCCUUUUCUACGGAAUAGCUCUGGGAAACUGGAAUUAAUACCGUAUACGCCCUACGGGGGAAAGAUUUAUCGGGGAAGGAUUGGCCCGCGUUGGAUUAGCUAGUUGGUGGGGUAAAGGCCUACCAAGGCGACGAUCCAUAGCUGGACUGAGAGGAUGAUCAGCCACAUUGGGACUGAGACACGGCCCAAACUCCUACGGGAGGCAGCAGUGGGGAAUAUUGGACAAUGGGCGCAAGCCUGAUCCAGCCAUGCCGCGUGAGUGAUGAAGGCCUUAGGGUUGUAAAGCUCUUUCACCGAUGAAGAUAAUGACGGUAGUCGGAGAAGAAGCCCCGGCUAACUUCGUGCCAGCCGCCGCCGUAAGAC
rnacentral:rRNA from 1 species